UACGGAGGGUGCAAGCGUUAAUCGGAAUUACUGGGCGUAAAGCGCACGUAGGUGGUUUUCUAAGCCAGCUGUGAAAUCCCCGGGCUCAACCUGGGACUUGCAGUUGGAACUGGAAAGCUAGAGUAGGGUAGAGGGGUGUGGAAUUCCAGGUGUAGCGGUGAAAUGCGUAGAUAUCUGGAGGAACAUCAGUGGCGAAGGCGACACCCUGGACUCAUACUGACACUGAGGUGCGAAAGCGUGGGGAGCAAACAGG
rnacentral:rRNA from 1 species